GGCUGAAACUCGCCUACAUGAAGCUGGAGUUGCUAGUAAUCGCGAAUCAGCAUGUCGCGGUGAAUACGUUCCCGGGCCUUGUACACACCGCCCGUCACACCAUGAGAGUUGGCAAUACCCAACGUACGUGAUCUAACCCGCAAGGGAGGAAGCGUCCUAAGGUAGGGUCAGCGAUUGGGGUGAAGUCGUAACAAGGUAAC
rnacentral:rRNA from 1 species